GCGAUUGUAGCUCAGUUGGUUAGAGCACUGGUUUGUGGUACCAGAUGUCGGGGGUUCGAGUCCCCUCAAUCGCCCCA
rnacentral:tRNA from 1 species